rnacentral:rRNA from 1 species
CUUUACUGUAGGCUGAUAUUGGGCUGAGGUACGUUUUGUGUAGGAUAGGUGGGACGCUAUGAGGCGGUGGCGCCAGCCAUCGCAGAGCGGUCGUUGAAAUACCACCCUGAAUGUGCUUUAGUUCUAACCCUGUCCCGUGAAUCCGGGCAGGGAACAGUUUCAGUUGGGCAGUUUGACUGGGGCGGUCUCCUCCGAAAAAGUAACGGAGGAGUGCAAAGGUACCCUCAGCCUGGUUGGCAAUCAGGCUUCGAGCGCAAGGGUAGAAGGGUGCUUAACUGCAAGACUUAUCAGUCGAGCAGAUACGAAAGUAGGUCCUAGUGAUCCGGUGAUUCCGUAUGGAAGGGUCAUCGCUCAUCAGAUAAAAGGUA